GGCAGGCCCCCGGCCCUCGGACUGUCCUCCACCGGAGCGAGGGCUGUGUGGGCCGCACUGACAAGGGAUGGGGUGGUCAAUCCUAAGUGCCUGGUCAGAUCCGUGGGGCUCCGUCCUCUCCGCUGGGCCCAGCCUCCCCCAGGUGCCCCUCCUCAGGCAGCAGCCAAUCGCCUGCUCCCGCCUUGACCCCCUCCCCUCUCUCCUCGGCUUACUCUCAGGAUUCCAAAAGGUGAAGACGCGGCUAAUCAAGUAAGCGUCUGCCAGGCGGCGCUUCUUUGAGGAGGAGGGAGAGGAGGGCGGACCCUCCACCGCGGGGCGCCGUGCGCCGUGAGGAUGGAGCAUCGCUGCCGCCGGGAGAGAGCGAGCGUGCGCGACUUUCGGGGUCUGCCCACCUCCGCCCCAACCCACGAACUCCGCAGACAGCUCAGGAGAUUGCUGUGAGAACAAGAAAAAACCGUCCUGGAGACCAAGGGUGCCCCUACCAGAUGGAUUCGGGCAUCUUCCCCUUCGCUUCUUCGCGAGGGAGGCCGCUUCACGCGCAGAAUAUCUACCCUCCAGUUCAUCAAGGGUGACGCUGUGUGAAAGAAAGAGGCCUCUGCUGUGUGCGUUUGAUAACAGUGCACUCAAGUCUGCUCAGAAGGUGAAACAGCCCUGGGCCACUUCAUUUUGAAGCUCUGAAUAUAUUUUUUAAAUGAAGACAUGCCAAAAUAGUUACCAAAAUUUUAAUUGUGGUUUACGAUCCUUUAAUAAUUCAAUGCUCUUGACACGCACACGCUAACAUAAUGACUGCACGGGUAAGCUCAUCAGGAGAUGAUGCCCAAAAGGCCAUAUGUGAGGCCCCUGAUGAACAUGAGGCCAGAACCAAAUGGCCCUUUUGCUCCACUCCCAGCCCAGAGAUUGGCUCUGUGCCUUCACAUGCUCGGAACGGGAGAGGAAGUGGCCUGAAGCGAGCUGGGAAUUAAGCCUGGAGCAGAGGUAGUGAGGUCUGAGGAAAAGCCUGCUUGAAACCAGGUUCAUACUGGGCCCCAGUUUGGAUACCUCACCUUCGUCAUGCCUCGUUGCCCACCUGUUAGCUGAAGAAUGUUAAAAGAGGCUCGAAGGAGAACAAAGAUAAAAAUGGAGUUCCAAAGAAGAAAGAUGCCACUGGCGGGAAGCAGGAAUGCAUUACUAAAUGCACCCUAAAGAUGCUUCCGUCCCUCCCAUCCUUCCCUCCUUCCUGAGUCGGAAUCAGGAUGCUUUAACAGGCAGUUGGCAAAGAACACCAUUCAUCCCAAACAAGCAGUGUAGUCUUUCCUGUGUUUGGUCUUUAUUAAAAUCUUGGAAUUCCAUGCCUCCUCUGAAUUUCCAUGUGGCUUCUCUUUAUGCAUAAACAUCAAAAAGGAUGCAGCUUGUUACAUAAACUUGGUAGACUGCAAAAGCCUGCCAUGUGUUUAUGCAUUACAAAGAGCCCUGCACAGUUAAAACCAAACUAAUUAGGAGGCGCAAGUCAAAAGAAGUUCUGAAAUGUUAUUAAUAAUUAUAUGUGACAAAAUCAGUUUAUUUUUAGAUUUCUGAGAAAUGCAUUUCUGGUUUGUCAUUGCUCUCCACACCUGUGAUCGUCUCUCUCAGUCUGUCUGCUUGCCCUCUCCUGCUCACCCUCCACAGUGAGUCGCAGGCGGAGGAACCCAUCAGGGCUGCUAUUCUUCAGCUCUCUAACCUUCAGCUGUGUGACUGGCUUCUUGGGCAACACGAUUGCCUGUCAUUUAACGUGCGUGGAUGGAUGAGCUCAUUAACAAGCCGCCCCAGGGGCCCUCUCCAUUGGCUGCUCUCCCAGACCCUAGUUCUUUUUCUCCACCCAACAGCAACGGUGGGCCUUCCCUGUCUGGUGAAGCACAUGCUCACACCCAUCUCAUUGUGCGCCCUUCCCCCUCCUGGAGGAGAACUUAGGGCGGUCAGGAGCAAUCAUUCUAAGCAUCCUGCUGAACCUGCGCUUUUCACGAAGGCCACUCUUUCUCCAGGACGCCACCAGCUCUCCAGAGCCCUCCCCUGGGUUCCCAGGGAGGAACGGUAACCUAGUCAGCAAUUCUUACUUCUUGCUUUGCCGAGGGGCUGCUUCCCCCUCAUGGGUUAGCACAUGUCUCGUAGGAAACCCUUAAUUCCUCUCGUUGUUCCCUCUUGCGGUGAAGCUGUGCAGCCCUAGACGGUGGGAAAGCCCUCCUGGGAAUCUGAGAGGGCUCUGUCAGAGCUGCCUGCCGAGGGUACAGGGAGGUGGGAAGUCCAGGGGUUUUACUUCCCUAAGACACGGGAAUUCAGGCUCUCCCUGUCCAUGUGUCCUGUGGUGAGUGUCUGUCUCUGAGUCUCUAGGGAUUUGCUUUCAAGUUUUAAAAAAUUUAAUGAUUAGGAUCCUGGCUUUUUGUGCCUUGGUUUCUCCUUUCUAAGAAAGGUGAAAAUAUUUGGGUUAAAUAAAGCUAAGUCCAGGUUUCUUUUGGGGGACCCUGAGAGCGCAAUGUGCCUCUUCUUUCUCAUAAUCUAGUCUCAGGAUGUCUGCCCCAUCUCUGUCUUGUUUUCUCCUUCUUACUCCCUCUCCGACAGAAUACUUCCUGCCACCUCACCCCAUGGUUUCUCGGUUGUUUUGCCCUUUUUAGACUCACUUCUAACCUCGGCGCUAUUUUUCCGUCAGCUUCAGACAGGAACCGCUAGUGAAGAAAACCUGAGACAACACUGUCGAGAGCAAGUUUUUCUGAAUCCUUCUAAUCCCCGUGGGUCUUUCAGAGGUCAAGAGCGUCCCAGGCCACUGCCAUGUGCUGAGGCUUCCAGAAUACUUUUUUUUUAAAUCUUCAACCUAACCCCUUAUCCAAUCUGAUUCUUUAACUGUUUUUUGGUUGUUUUCUUUUUUUGCAGGGAAAGAUUCACCCUGAGCUAACAUCUGUUGCCAGACUUCCUUUCUUUUUUUUCCUCCCCACAGCCCCAGUCCAUAGUUGUAUAUUCUAGCUGUGUGUCCUCUUAGUGCUUCUCUGUGAGCCGCUGCCACAGCAUGGCUGCUGACAGACGAGUGGUGUGGGCCUGUGCCCAGGGAACUGAACCUGGCCGCCAAAGCAGAGCACGCUGAAUUUUAACCACUAGGCCAUCAGGGAUGGCUCUAGACUACUUUUUUAAAAAAAAUUUAUAAAUGGCAAAAAAAAAGUCACAAAAAUUGUAGAAUAUUUUAAAUGUGUAUAUUAAACAAAUUAAUUCUUAACACACUCACAAAACAAUAUAAUUGGACUGUUUCCAAAAGACAUGAUUAAAGUAUUAAUAUAAGGCUCAUUGUGAAUUUGGGGACCCAGUUGAAACCUUUGAUAUACAUUUCCCCUUGAAGAACCUUCUGGCCCAUUUAUCGCUCCUUAUCUAGCUCUCAACCAGCUGCUACUAUCAGCCCUGCCCCCAGGCCAGUCUCUCGGAGACAUCCCUCCUGCUCUUCCCCAUGAGAUGCUCAGCAUGGAAAAGUGUCAAUUCUUGCCUGUAGGUGUGCACCGAUGACUAGAUGGUAGCUGUUAAUGUCACUCUUUUUAAACCGGGGCUGGUUUUGCAACCUCACACGCAAGAGUAUUUUUAAAUAAACUUAAUUGCUUUGAGCUCUCUGUUUUGGAAUUAAUAAAGCGUUUCAGAAUUGGCAUCAUUUGAAAGAACAACAGA
rnacentral:lncRNA from 1 species